rnacentral:sRNA from 1 species
AUGAGAACCUCCGGGGGCAGGGAGGUUCGACUCGAGCGAAGCGAGAGAACGUUGCGCCAGCAACGGCCCGCAGGGCGAGCCACGAAGUGGCGAGUAAUCCUCUAUCACCGACCA